rnacentral:rRNA from 1 species
UGGGGAAUAUUGGACAAUGGGGGGAACCCUGAUCCAGCCAUGCCGCGUGUGUGAAGAAGGCCUUAUGGUUGUAAAGCACUUUAAGCGAGGAGGAGGGUACUGGUAUUAAUACUACCAGCUACUGGACGUUACUCGCAGAAUAAGCACCGGCUAACUCUGUGCCAGCAGCCGCGGUAAUACAGUGGGUGCGAGCGUUAAUCGGAUUUACUGGGCGUAAAGCGUGCGUAGGCGGCUAAUUGAGUCGGAUGUGAAAUCCCCGAGCUUAACUUGGGAAUUGCAUUCGAUACUGGUUAGCUAGAGUGUGGGAGAGGAUGGUAGAAUUCCAGGUGUAGCGGUGAAAUGCGUAGAGAUCUGGAGGAAUACCGAUGGCGAAGGCAGCCAUCUGGCCUAACACUGACGCUGAGGUACGAAAGCAUGGGGAGCAAACAGG